rnacentral:rRNA from 1 species
CCCUUAGAUGUCCUGGGCCGCACGCGUGCUACACUGAUGCAUACAGCGAGCACUUCCCGGCCCCGAGAGGCGGCUGGUAAUCAGCAAUAUGCAUCGUGAUGGGGAUAGAUCUUUGGAAUUCUUGAUCUUGAACGAGGAAUGCCUAGUAGGCGCAAGUCAUUACCUUGCGUCGAUUAAGUCCCUGCCCUUUGUACACACCGCCCGUCGCUACUACCGAUUGAACGUUUUAGUGAGGCAUUUGGACCGACGCAUCUCAGUUUAACCGCUGGUUUGUGUUGGAAAGACUUCCAAACUUGAGCGUUUAGAGGAAGUAAAAGUCGUAACA